rnacentral:rRNA from 1 species
CUAGAGGAGCCUGUUCUAUAAUCGAUUCUCCCCGAUAAACCUCACCACUUCUAGCCAACUCAGCCUGUAUACCUCCGUCGUAAGCUUACCAUAUGAACGCUAAUUAGUGAGCUUAAAGAUCUUUACAUCAACACGUCAGGUCAAGGUGCAGCUCACGAAGUGGGAAGUAAUGGGCUACAAUUUCUAACUUAGAACACACGAAAGACUACAUGAAACACAGUCAUGAAGGCGGAUUUAGCAGUAAAAAGAAAAUAGAGAGUUCUUUUUAAUUAGGCGCUGGGACGCGUACACACCGCCCGUCACCCUCUUCAAACGCCCACAAACGUUAAUUAACACCUAACCGCACCAUAGAAGAGGUAAGUCGUAACACGGUAAGCGUACUGGAAAGUGCGCUUGGACUAACAA